rnacentral:rRNA from 1 species
CCUACGGUGGGCAGCAGUGGGGAAUAUUGGGCAAUGGAGGCAACUCUGACCCAGCAACGCCGCGUGAGUGAUGAAGGUCUUCGGAUUGUAAAACUCUUUAAGUGGGGACGAAGAAAGUGACUGUACCCACAGAAUAAGCUCCGGCUAACUACGUGCCAGCAGCCGCGGUAAUACGUAGGGAGCAAGCGUUAUCCGGAUUUACUGGGUGUAAAGGGCGUGUAGGCGGGCAUGCAAGCCAGAAGUGAAAUCUGGGGGCUUAACCCCCAAACUGCUUUUGGAACUGCGUGUCUUGAGUGAUGGAGAGGCAGGCGGAAUUCCCAGUGUAGCGGUGAAAUGCGUAGAUAUUGGGAGGAACACCAGUGGCGAAGGCGGCCUGCUGGACAUUAACUGACGCUGAGGCGCGAAAGCGUGGGGAGCAAACAGGAUUAGAUACCCUAGUAGUC